GACAGAGGUUGCAAACGUUGUUCGGAAUUACUGGGCAUAAAGCGCACGUAGGUGGUCCGCUAAGUCGUGUGUGAAAUGCCCCGGCUCAACCGGGGAAUUGCGCACGAUACUGGCGGGCUUGAGGUCGGGAGGGGUGAGUGGAACUCCUGGUGGAGCGGUGAAAUGCGUAGAUAUCUGGAGGAACACCGGUGGCGAAGGCGGCGUUCUGGACUGUUUCUGACACUGAAAAACGAAAGCCAGGGGAGCAAACGGG
rnacentral:rRNA from 1 species